GCGAUGCGGGAGAGCUUCCCCACGGAAGCACCGAAGGAGCAAGCCUCCCCGCCAAUCUCUCAGGUACGAGUACCGCAUC
rnacentral:ncRNA from 1 species